rnacentral:rRNA from 1 species
AUAUCAGUAAGCGGAGGAAAAGAAACUAACAAGGAUUCCCUUAGUAACGGCGAGUGAACCGGGAACAGUCCAGCGCUAAAUCGGUACGUCUCGGCGUACCGACGUGUAGCGUAUAGGCGAGUCGCUUGGUCUCAGUCUCAGGGCACAAGUUUCCCAUGACCGGGGCGCCGAAGAAGGUGAUAGACCUGUAGCGCUCGAGACUUUGGCCAAUUGUUUCGUCUUAGAGUCGGGUUGUUUGGGAUCGCAGCCCAAAGCAGGUGGUAAACUUCACCUAAGACUAAAUACCCCCACGACGACCGAUAGCGCACAAGUA